rnacentral:lncRNA from 1 species
GUGGCUGAGUAAAGACAGAUUGACAGGGUCUUGGCCACUGCCCUUCGCGGGCCGGGCUUCCUCCUUCUGUAACCUUCUGUGCCGGGGAGGAUAUUUGCAUUUAAGCAGAAAGUGUUUCAGGCUCUGCAGAGGUGACACUGGCGUGUUUCUGCACUCAGGGUGCCCUUCCUGCCUUUUCCUCCCGGACACAGAGUCACAAGUGUGCACAGGGAAUGACAGACUCGGCGUCCAGUGGAGCCAUCCCCUGGCCUCGGAGUAGGAGGCGCGCCCAGGCCAGGCCAGACCACAGUGUAACAGGAGGGAGGAGGGCUUGCUUCUUUCAGGCAAGAAAAUUAAAACGGACAAAGAAAUAAAAGUAUUAAAUGUAUAGGAAAAACUGGAGUUUUUAUGACAGCGAUCAUCUAUAAAGAAACCAAGAGAAGUAAGCAAACAUUUGAACUAGCUCAGACAAGCAGCCUGCUUCACCCGCAGUUCACAAGGAAAACCCACAAUCAUAACGUUAAAAAUAUUCCCAAGCGCCGGGCGCGGUGGCUCACGCCUGUAAUCCCAGAACUUUGGAAGGCCAAGGUGAGAAAAUUGCUUAAGGUCAGGAGUUCAAGACCAGCCUAACCAACAUGGUGAAACCCCAUCUCUACUAAAAAUACAAAAAUUAGCCAGGCGUGGUGGCAGGUGCCUGUAAUCCCAGCAACUCGGGAAGCUGAGGUACGAGAAUCGCUUGAACCUGGGAGGGGGAAGUUGCAGUGAGCCGAGAUAGCGCCAUUGCACUCCAGCCUGGGCGACAGAGCGAGACUAAAAAAUGAAAUAUGAAAUGAAAUGAAAUAAUGAAAUGAAGAAAUGAAAUAUAAAAUAAAAUAAUCCCAAGCUUGGGACCCAGACUCUAACUGCUGAAAUGGAACCCCAGUGUGGAUCAGAACCUGGUGAUGAGACAGGGACACUUAAGAAUUCAACUUUGGGAGCUCAAGGUGCCCUCCAGUCCUCUCCUCACAGUGUGGAAACACUCUUUCCUUCAAAACCUUCAUUUGUACCAGCAGGAAACUCUCACCCGGAGUCAAUGUAAAGUCGUGACCUAAAUAAAUUGUCAUGUUCCCAAACCUUUUCUCCAGGGGACAAUGCAAACAAGUUUUUCACUGAGUCUGACCCUCACAGAUUUUCUUCAUGUAUACAAAUUACAGCCUGACUCAGCGACCCCAUGAAUGCUAAAACCAAAACACUGUCCAGGAAAUGGCCCCAGGCGCCAAAGGCUCCAGACUGGUCUCAGGCUCUCCUGCCCACUGCAGUUUAUUCACUUGCUUCUCACCAACACUGAUCCACUUAGGUAAGAAAAAAGACCUUCAAUCCCCUUUGCUGUUUGUUUGUUUUUAAGAAACUAGCAGAGUUCCUGCUUUCCUUCUGUGGUUAUGUAUAAGCUGGAAGACAAAAAAUUCUAAAAUACUUUAUAUGGAUUUUAAAACUGGCAAGUAAUGAUUCCUUUGAGAAAACAAAGAUAUCAGCUAUGCUAUUAUGAUUUAUACAUUGGUUUCCAUCCAUGCUUCCUGACUCAUAACUCCCAUAGUCCUUGUUACAGUAAACAGAAACUCUCUCUCUCUGACCUUCUCCUGCCCCCCAUUCACCUGUCCACUGCAGAACUCUAAUGUGAUCGUGGGUCAUAAGACUCUCACUCCAAAGAGUGUCCUGUCCUGUACGCUGGGGAAAGGAAUGCUACACAGAAGCCAAAAAUUAUCUGGACAGGGGUUGGAUGCAGUGGUUCACGCCUGUAAUCCCAGCACUUUGGGAGGCUGCGGAGGGAGGAUUGCUCGAGCCCAGGAAUUCAAGACCAGCCUGGGAAAGAUGUCGAGACCCCAUCUCUAUGAAAAAUAAAUAAAAAGGCCGGACGCGGUGGCUCAUGCCUAUAAUCCCAGCACUUCAGGAGGCUGAGGUGGGCGGAUCAUGAGGUCAAGAGAUCGAGACCCUCCUGGCCAACAUGGUGAAACCCCCGUCUCUACUAAAAAUACAAAAAUUAGCUGGGCGUGGUGGCGCGUGCCUGUAGUCCCAGCUACUUGUAGUCCCAGCUACUUGGGAGGCUGAGCCAGGAGAAUCACUUGAACCCAGGAGGCA